rnacentral:lncRNA from 1 species
GCGAGAAGCCCUAUUGGCCCAACACAAGACGUAGUAAACUCUAGAGGGUAGUUCAAGAAUGUGUGCCGGGUCUGUUUGGAUCCCCUCCUCUAAAAUUUAGAGUUAAAGUCUCCAAACAGGUGGUCUAAAAUUAUCAAACUUUAGCCCACCUCAUAUUAGAGCUUUAGAUCUCAAAACAAAGCUAAAGUGUUCUAAAGUUUUUAGAGAAGAGAAUUAUCUCUACUUUCAGUUUUUUUUUUUCAAAAUGCACACAAAGUCAAGUCACUCUACACAUUCCUACAUAUAUAUAAAAUGUGUAGUACACUAAAAAAUCGAUGCUUUUGGUGAAGCAUCCUCAAACUCAGGACCUCUUAUAUCAUAGAUAAACAAUCACUAGAUGUUACUCGAUAUCGAAUUGAAUGUCUGAAUCUCGCAUCAUUCGUUCUAGAUCAUGUCAUCUCAAACAUCCAAAAUGUUGUUCUCAUAGUGAAUGAUAAGCAGAUAAUUUCUAUAGAAGAUAAGUUCAAUUUCAAUACAUAAAAAAAACUCGCAAAGGUCCAUGUUACACAUUCCCUAUUCAAAACAUCUCAAAAUGCAUAGAUAUACAUUUAAUGGAUCCUGCGAUAAUAAGUGACCAUACAAUGGACAAUGGACAGUGGUAACUUUGGUUAUCAUUAUGACUUACUCUCUCUGUCUUACUAAAAGUGUCGUUUUUUACUUUUAGACUUCUUAUUUAACCGUUUGUCUUAUUUAAAAAUUUUAUAUAAAUAUUAUUUAUUUUGUUAUGAUUUGUUUUAUUAAUAAAAUGCUUUAACAAUGAUUUAUUUAUUUUACUAUUUAUAUAAUUUUUUGAAUAAGACGAACGAUCAAAUAAGAAAUCUAAAAGUAAAAAACGACACUUUUAAUGGGAUAAGAGAGUAGUUGUUAUUAUUGGGUGAACGAAUAAUCGAUGGUGUUUCCAAAUUUCAAAAAAAAGAAAAAAUAAAUGAGCAUCUCCAAGCCAAAAAAAACUAGUUAAAUUUAUUGAUUUAGCUACUCUCUAAAAUAGAUUUGACAAAAAAAUAUCAAAGUACUCCAACAGACUCUGUAAAGAAUGGUUAAUGAGGUAUGCUAUCCAAGAAGAGCGAUUAAGGUGAGAUAUAGAGUACUAAAUUUGAAAAAUCGUUUACAGAAUCUGUUGGAAAUAUUUUUUCUUCAACAAUAACUAAAUUUAUUUUUAGAAAAUGAUUUGGCUAAUCUUUUAGAGAUGCUCUUAUCAAUUGAAAGUUAUACUAUGUAUUACUGCCCGUUUUAAAGCACCCGGUAGUAAUUAAUAUAGGGGCCGCAUUUACUAUGGGUAUUGUAGUAGAGGCAGUUUUGUCUUCGCAAAAUGUAAUAUAGAUGCUCACAUGCACAUGAACACCAAUUCAAGCCAAUAUGAUCGGCUAAUCGUUGGAUCAUGGAAUAUGGAUGCCUUCACGCACUAGUUUAUCUACAAACUCCAUUACGGAGUAGCUCUAUAAAAAACUAGAGUUCAUAGAGCACAUCUUCAGGUACUCUUACAACUCUACUUUUUUAUACGUAAAACUAAAACAGAGCUAAAAAACGUAUAGCGGAGUAGCCGAAACACCCCUAUAGUAUUUUGUUAAGAUUAUAUGUUUCAGGUUUUUGUUCUGAUCUGAGGGUAGCGUGUUACUACUACCUAAGACUCUAGCUAAUGACAAGAUGAAUGAAUCAGAUUAAGUAAUUAAUUAACUGCUCCUCUGUUUUAUUAGGUGGACGAAGGCUUCACAGUCACGGCGGAGGAGAUCGUUGGCAGACUCAAGUCUGCAGCAAUAAUGCACCAGCAAAGCCGCUGCAACAGCACUGAAGAAACUGCAUGAAACUAGUUACUAUAUAAAUUAAAGGCAGCAAAAGCCUGCACGUGAUUAAUUUAUAUAUAGUAUUGUAUAUAUUUAUGCGUAUAUAUAAACAAACGCUAUGUCGCCAUGUCGGUAUUUUUCUCCCUUUUUCUUUCAUUAAUGAUAUAUAACAUAUGUUCGGACGGAUAGACGCCGUUCUCCGCUCAUUUCCGCAUCCGCUCAUUUCUCGCCCACUUUCCCCCAUCAUGGUAUCUCCGCACCACGCUGCGACGCUCCUCUGUCAAGCCGUGCUCCCGCGCCCCACCCCCACGCACGUCCCACGAGCGUGUGCCCCCCCCCGCUGGUUCCUUCCUCCUCCAGUUCCAGUGCAGCGGCGCCCGUGGCCACAGCUCCAGCACGGGCGACCAGCACAACCUCCUCCUCCCCUAUGUUCCUCAAUCCUCGGCAGCUCCCUCCCCCACCCCGACGUCCUUCUUCCCCCACCUCGGCGGCGCCCCUCCCCUCACACCAACGUUCUCCCCCACCGGGAUCCUCCAACGCUCACAGAUCUGGCGGCCAUGGCACUCCCUGCGCUAGGAUCUCUCUCUUCCCACCCUAUGUUGCAAUUUGUUUCAGAAGGUUCAGAGGUAUGUUGCAGUUGAAUUACAUGGAUGUUGCAAAAGUAGAUCGGAGGAUAUUGAAUAUGUUGCAUAUGAUUCAAUUGUUUUAAAGGCAUGUUGCAAUAGUAUGUUUUCGAGUGUUUUAGAUAUUUCAGCGGUAUGUUUCGUCUGUGUUUUCCAGACACGCGUUUCAAUUGUGUCUUUUGGAUGUUAUAUAUGUUCUACACAUAUGUUGCAUAUGUGUUUAUUUGGAUGUUUGCUUAUAGUUGCAAUGAUUUCCAGAUUUCCAAGUGUGUUUCAGUUGUGUUCUCUCAAGUGUUUCAUAAGUAUGUUUCAAAUGUUUCAACUGCCUUUAAACUUAUGUUGCAACUAUUGUUUUUGGAUGUUUCAAAAGUACAUCGGGUAUUUUAUCUUUCUUCUCGCUUUUUCUGCGCCGCCUCAUGUAACAUCCCGGAUUUUUACGUAAACCAAAAAUACGAGCUUUUUAAAAUUUUUCCUGUAAUCGUGUGAAGCAUAUAGUUUUUAGAUCUAAAUCGAUCCUAACCCGCUAACAAAUCGUGGCAUACAUAUAGAUUUGUUUCUAGGUGAGUGCUUUUGUUCGUGAGUCGGUUUGGAGUUUAGUCUUGUUUAGGGUUUUGAGUUUCUUUUGGAGUGCACAAAUCCGUAGCAAAGUCUUCCUAAAUCUUUGUGGAGCCUACCUCAAAGUCGAAGCGAAUCCCUUCUCAACUUUUUGUUGGAGUAUGUCUCAAACUCCAUCGGAUUUUAUCCGAUCUCCUUUUGUUUUCAUUCCUUGUGUUUAAUCAAAAAUGGAAAACCCCUUUCUUUUCCCUUGGGCCGAAUUUCUUUUCUUCUCCCAUUUGGCCCAACUCGCGCAGGAGCCUUGCCAAGCCCAGCAGCCGGCCCACCCGAAACCCCCGCGCCCCCCCUCCUGAACCACCUAGCUCAGCCUGGGCUCCCUUUCCUCCCCUCUCGCGUGGCCGACCUUGCCCUAGGCCCAUCCCGCGCACUAAGGCCUAGUCGGCUUCUCCUCCCCUCCCGCGUGGCCCACCUCGCCCCGGCCCAAGGCCCAGCCGCGAGCCUCCUCCUCCCCUGCGCCCAACCCUAGAGUGGGGAGCGCCUGCUCCCCAGGACAGCCGCCGCCGCCGCCUGAUGCUGCGCCCGCGCCUGCCCUCUCUCCUCGGCGUUCGUGCCGAUGCGCGCCGCGUGUCCUGCUCGCGGCACGGACGUCGGAGAUGGCCGCUUCCGCCCCGAAGCCCUAGCGCCCGCGCUAUAAGAACCGAGCCGCCAGCCGCCGCCCUUCUCCCCCGCGCAACCGCCGCUCUGCUUGCGCGCGCCCCUGCACCCUCAGCGCCGCGACACGCACACGCCCGAGCCCCGUGCGCGCCUGCCCUCUCUCCUCGGCGCGCGCCCGCAUCCACUGGCCUCGCCCUGAUGCUGCCCGCCGAGCCGCCGCCGCGACGCACCCGCGCGCCCGAGCACCCCGACGCGUCCACGCCCUCGCCGAGCAGCAGCAGAGCCGCGGCCACGGCCUCGCCCUCGGUGCCCUGCGACGCCGAGCACCGCCGCGCCGAGCUCCGUCCGGCGUCCACGGCCCCGACCUCGCCAGGAGCCGCUGACCCCCUCUUCGUCGAGCACCUGACCGCUGUGGCCGCGACACGCCUCGUCCUCGACCCCGCCGCGCCGAGCUUCGACUGCGACCUUGCCCAGGAGCCCGCGGCGUCCCCAUCCUCGCCCGCGAGCUCUCCCCCGAGCCCCGUCUUCGGCCAGCACCGCGAGCACGGCGCCCCUCCGCGUCCGCGUCCUCGACCUCGCCACGACCUCGACGCCGAGCAGGAGCUCCGCACCCCCGCCGGAGCACGACGCCACGACCACGACCGUGCCGCGCCAAGCACUGCGACCCCGACCCCGACGCAGUUCUGCGCCACCCCGCGACGUCACCCACACCCUCACCACCAGCACCGGCCUCGCCCCCAAGCCUAGGGCCGCGCGCGACGCCGGCUCCGGUCACGGCCGACCUGAAGCCCGCGGCGUCCACGUCCGCGCUCAGGAGCCGCGACCACCGAGCGCGACGUCGGGCCCGACGCGUCCCCGUCCUCGCCACGGUCACCGCGUCAAGCUCUCGUCCCUGUCUUCGCCAAGCCAAACCCCCGGUGAGCUCGCCAAGACCAAAGUUUUCCCCUUCCUGCGUUCACCAAGCUGAGACCGGCCUUCGCGCCACAUUUCAUCCAUUGUCGCAGGGAAGCUUUGGUCCUGUGGUGCUUUUGCCAAAGAUGUGAUGCCUUCUCGCUGCCAGCCGCGCCUCCAGCCGAGCCGCAGCGAGCAGAAGCCAGCCAAGAGCAACAGCAAGCCCGUAGUAGAUCUUCGUCCAAACAGCAAGGUCGAACCUUGAACCUAGCCGACAUCGUCUCCGACGUUGGCAAAACCCUUGCCGUUCAUUUCGAUAUCAUACAUGCCAUGUAUCUUGCUCAUGUAUGCAUUAUGAUCUAUCUGCAUGACCAUUUGUUCAUCUAUCCAUGUCAUGCAUUUGUUACAUGAUUAUUCAUCUCAUAUCUCGUUUAAUGCGGGACCUAUCUUCGUCUAUAUCUCUGCCUGUGCCGUGCCUUCGUGCCGGUCUAUUUAUCUAUCUCUAUCUCUUUUGGUCGCUAUGGAAAUGUGCUACUCCGAGUCGUCGUCUUGUUAGUAUUGCAAUUUGUGCUUUUGUUCUUGUCGUUGUGGACCGUGCCGUCGAGCCGGUUGAGAGAGUGACGUGUUUGGAUGUUGCGAUCGCGAGUUCGUCUCGCCACGGCCGUAAUGCCGAGCAUGUCCCUUCUCUCGUAUUUCUGUUGUUCCUUCUUUUGUUAUUUGCAUGCCUGAGGACCGAGCCUUCGAGCCGGUUAGGGAAAAUGGUGGAGCGUUCGAUCAUUUCGAUCGUGGGUUCGUCCCGCCGUGAUCGCGAUGCCGAGCGUAACUCAUUCCCUGUGAUUAGUUGACUUCGCUGCGCUACGGUCGUUAGCUCCUAUUCCCGUCCCUCGAACGUGGUCAUCGUGGACUCGAUGUCGUUAACGACGCGGUUCUUACCCGCACACUCGAGACCUAAAUGACCUAGUCUAGUGGGAUACGAAUUAGGGGACAACCUUCGUAGAACUAUCGGAGAAACUCGUUAGGUGAAGCUCAUGGCCGCGAGUCCACCUUGCCAUGGCCAUUGGGCUUUACCCCAUUUCUCCCGUGUUUAUCCUAACCACCUCGUAUGCUUGUACCACUUCGACUAUAGCAUUCCCUCGGACCUAGCGGUGACAACCACAUCGCUAUGGGCCUUAGGAAUAGCCUUGUGCUGAUUUAGAUGCACAGUCAUGGUGCCCUACGAGUGGGUUGGGAUCGUGGGGUCGUAUUCCUUUUAUCCAACCGUCGUUGUUCCAUGAUGAGUUGGUCGAAAGAGUAUGGACUCCAUUCUUCUUCUCUCUUGUUCUCAAUCCCGUCGAUCCAGUAAGAUGGGGAUUAAGCCCCUUUUGCUUGUUUGAUGUUUUGUUUCCAAUCCCGCGAUUCCCGCCGUUGCUAUGGCGAGCGGAUCAAAGGAAGGUGAAUCCCGUGUCUUUUCCCGCCUUUUUGGUUCUUCGUGCUUAAACUCUUGUAUGCUUGUACCUAUAUCGAUCGUAGCAUUUCUUUGGUUCUUGUGGUGACAACCGCACCGCAAAGAACCUUAGUGAUGUCAUAGUGCAUUUAGUGCACCUAGGUUGUGGUACCCUACAAGUGGUUUGAGUACUCGUGUUCCUUAUGUGUCACUCUUUCUAAUCCCCCGUCUCUUACCAUGGCGAGUGGAUGGGAAGAAGUAGACCACUCCCCUUUUCUUCUCUCCUUGUUCCACCCUCUCUUGGCUCUCGCCAACUACAAUGGCGUAUGGAUUGAGAGAGACCGGAACUUCGCGUGCUCAUAGUCUUUUCGAUUCCUGUCGAUCUCCGUGACGCUUGGAUCGAAGAGCCACUAGCUAUGGUGUUUGCUUAUGAUAAGUUAGGGUCUAAGCCAAUUAUUAAAGUCGUACAGGUUGACUUAGUCGACCCAGGAAGUACCGGCUAGGCUAAGACUCCAGCUUGUACUUAGUGAACAACCAUUCCCAUUUCUUUUAGCCCAAAGAUCGGACAUCCGCCGAGAGGGCUAAGCCGUUUUCCUUUCGUUGCUCUUUUAGUGUAGUUGUUCCUCAGUGUUAUGUCGUCUCUUUUUGUAGUCUUUCGAGGUCUAGUGGUUUGAUUGUUUUGCCUUGUUUGUCGCUUUCGAGGUAGUCGCUUCGAGGUUAGCGUUGAUCGGACCAGGACCAGUUGAAGGAAGAACAUGCGGAAAGGAGGAUCUUGGAUGAGUACAACUACAAGUGAACUGAGGAUCUUGGAAAUGUCACUCGACAGGUGCCACGUCCCACCCAACCUCGUAGAAUCCUAUUAGACAUGCAAUAUUACAGAUGCUAGUGCUUUACUUUUAUGCAAAUGAACUGUGAUAGGUUGCAUGGUAGAAAUGCUUGUGAGCCAUUGCCUUGUUGCAACCUAUAACCCUCGCACACCCGCUGUUAGGUUAGAUGCUUGCAUACUACUUGCUACUGCUUCUACUUCGCAUUAUAUCUGUGAUGUGAUGCAAUGUGGGAGAUUGGAUGUGAGUGGAUAAGGCACGUGGUGCCAAUAAAUGGAUAAAGAAAUGGAUAAUGGAUUUGGGGAGAUCUUGGCGUGUGUCUUGGGUGUGUGGUGAGGGUCGAGUCGACCGAACAGGAUCUACGACGAGUCUUGGGACAAGUCUUGCCGGAGGACGCUACCUGGGCGUUCUCCAUGAGAGUUACCUGUGGCGGGUACAUGUGACAGGGAGAGGUCCCGGAGUGGAGUGUCUUCGUGGGACGAAGCGCCGGGAUGGGAGGUGCUGUUUAGCACGGGGUAGCCGGAUGUCCUGUCGAGCGGGGCAUCGGUUGGCCCCUCGUGAAGAUGUCCUGUUUGGUCACCCUAAGGACUGAGAUGUUCUGUGGACCGGGUCUUAGGAAGCCUUACACGCCACUCGCCUUAUUAUGGUGCGGGACGGAUGUACGACCAGCUAGUGCGGUGCCACUACUACUAGGUUGUUAGCGGAUAGUGUAGGGAGGUACGGGCAUGAGGACCCACACCCUCCUAAGACAGCGUAGUGACCUUUGGGGCCCGGUACUACGCCUCACAGUCUCAGCAUGCCGGUGGUACUCCGGUAUGGUCCCAGUUCUGAGUGGUAGGGUGGCAUCGUAUUUAGUUGGGAGGCAGCUCGGAAUCAGCCUAGACGGGGGCCACCGUCGAUGAUGGUGAUCUUGUGGUUAGUGUAAACCUCUACAGAGUUUGGUUGAUCGAUCGAUACAUAUGCCGAUUCGUCGGCUAUGGACCUUUCCUAAGUACAGCUUCACUUGACUAGAGAGAGAGGAGUCCUUUCUACCUUCCCCUGGGUUUGUGUUGGAUCCGGCGUUGGCCGUUGAGGCAAGGCACGAGCGGGAGUCGUACUUGCCGCCUAGAGAGUGAGAGUGUGGUGAGAUGUGUGUGAUGGAUGGAUGGAUGUGUGGUUGAGAUGGAUUAAAACCUGAUGAAUUAUUAUUAUUAAAUAUUGAUGAACUUGCAUAGGGAAAACUACAGCCAUAUAUAUAUAGGCCUCUUGAUCUACCCUUUGCAUUCCACUUACCACAAAGCUACGCAAAAGCAUAGGGUGGGAGCCAGUGGCCAGUACAAAUCGUACUGAAAAUUGUUCGGCAGGUUUUGAACGUGGUCUAUGGCGAUAACUAUGGAGAAUAGAAGGAUUAGGUGGUCUCGUUCCUGCGCUCAAGUUUGGUUCGGAGAUGAAGGCUACGCCCGCUGAUAAACUACGCCGACUCUGAUGAUUGCCCGUGAAGGAGGAGACUUCACCGAUGACGCGCUAUAUCGACUCUGAUAAAGACCCGUGUGUGUUUUCGCUAGAAAAACGAUGUAAUAGGCUUGUCGACCAAGUGUUGUAAAGCAAAUGUGUUGUAAUCUUGUUUCUCACGAUGUAUGACUACGAUAACAGCUGAUAUAUGAUAAUGCGAUGGUUCAAAUUUUUGAAUUAUCACAUUAUAAUUCGAAUCUGUGGAUUUUUCGCUUUGUGGAAAAAUCUAGGUCGUUUCAGUUGGUAUCAGAGCCAUACUUGACCCUAGGACGAGACCCUUAGUACCAAACACUAGUUUAGAAGCCAAACAUUCUAUCUUUUGUAGAGUUAUAGAUGCUAACACUUGUUUUCCCCCUCCGCCUUGAAUUCUGCUGCUAACUGACCUCCCUGUUUCAUAAAGUUGACCGUUGUAAUCUUUUCCUAUACCCGCCCACGCUAGAUCGAUAGUCGUGUGAGACUUUGAAGGUCUGUGAGUCGCCUCAAGUCAACACUAUGCAUUAGGAGUUGUAAUGCUGUUUGAGUGCUUGGAUCUUAUGUUGUUGUGUUUCUUCGGCUUCUUGUUGUCUAAGUGUAGGUCAUAGAACCUGUUUUAUGCGAGAAAGACUCUGGAUCCCGUCCAACCUAGUCGGCUAAACCUAAGACCGUCCGAGACUAGAUAGGUGAUCCUGGCUAACAGAGCUGAAAAAGGGUAUAAAGCUGCUGCAUUAUGUCUUGCCCAUCUAUUUCAAAGCUGUUUUUGGCUUCCAACUAAACUUGUCUUCAAAAUUGCCCCUUAGGUUGAAAAAAAAAUUUCUCUCCUUUUUGGUUAAAAUAUUUCCCCUUUUUAACAAAAGCAUCUCUACUUCAAAUGGAAAAGUGUUUCAAAACUCUCUCGAUAUCUUCCCUUUUUACAAAUAAAGCAAUUUUAACUCCUUUCUCAACUUAAUUUUAUUCAAAAGCUAUUUAUGAAAUGAUUUAAAAAAAAGUCACCUUGAAAAAGGUAUGACAAACCAUCUUCUGAAAAACAAAAGUCUUGCUUUUUCAUGUUUCCAAACCAAAGACUUUGGCUUACUUUUGUUUUAAAGGUCUUUGAUUUUAUCUCAAGAGCCAAAUUCCUUUUUAAAAAAAAAAUCAAACUUGUCUUAAAAGAAAAAGGAAUUGCUAGUGAUUUAUUAAACAAAAACCAUUGCGAAAAGAUUUUUGUUUGCGGCCUUCCAAGAGUUUAGCAAAAACAAAAUGAACUUACAAGUUUUAAAAGAAAACGCUCUUGUUGUCAAGACUUUAUCUUUCAAAAUGAGAAAUGAUUUCUAGUCAUUUUCAAAACUAGUUUGUUUAAUUCAAAUAAAUAAAUUAAAAAAAGGGGCAACGCCUUGUAUUUGAAAGCUAAAAGAGUUUCAAAAUCUCUUGAUUUGAAAUCUUUUAUAACAAAAUCUUCAAACGAUUUGGUUUUCAAAACUUGCAUUGAUUUCAACCCCCUUCAAAAGCUCUCUUCAAUUUCAAGCCUCAAAAAAAACUGACUUUGUAAAAGCGCUCUCACUCUAUUUUUGAAACCUGUUUUUCCGAAAAACAUUCCUUUCAAAAGCUUUUUGCAAAAAGUGAUGCAUGAAAAACAGCUGUGAAAGCCAACAACCCUAGCAACCCUAAGCUCGCCAUACCCCUCCUUUGACCGGAUGCUAGUUCUUGGAAGAGUAUCAUGCCAGUAAACAAAGAGUUUUGAGCCAGAAGAGCUAGACAACUAACAAUAGUCUCAUCUUCAAGAGCCAGAUGUACAUAAACCAGAUGAGGUUCUUGGAUACCCAUCGCCUCGGUGUAAGAAUUUGGAUACCCAACACCCACGACUGAGCCUUGGAUACACCCAGAACAUGACUCACUCCCAUUUUGGAAAAGGUUUGUGGAGCGGUCAUACUGAAAGUGAAACAACUCAGAAGUAAGAAGAACUUCGGGAAUAGCACCCUUGCUUCUUCAUCGACCGGGCAACGCCUAAAAUCUCGGGGACGAGAUUCCUGUAAGGAGGGUGGACUGUAACAUCCCGGAUUUUUACGUAAACCAAAAAUACGAGCUUUUUAAAAUUUUUCCUGUAAUCGUGUGAAGCAUAUAGUUUUUAGAUCUAAAUCGAUCCUAACCCGCUAACAAAUCGUGGCAUACAUAUAGAUUUGUUUCUAGGUGAGUGCUUUUGUUCGUGAGUCGGUUUGGAGUUUAGUCUUGUUUAGGGUUUUGAGUUUCUUUUGGAGUGCACAAAUCCAUAGCAAAGUCUUCCUAAAUCUUUGUGGAGCCUACCUCAAAGGCGAAGCGAAUCCCUUCUCAACUUUUUGUUGGAGUACGUCUCAAACUCCAUCGGAUUUUAUCCGAUCUCCUUUUGUUUUCAUUCCUUGUGUUUAAUCAAAAAUGGAAAACCCCUUUCUUUUCCCUUGGGCCGAAUUUCUUUUCUUCUCCCAUUUGGCCCAACUCGCGCAGGAGCCUUGCCAAGCCCAGCAGCCGGCCCACCCGAAACCCCCGCGCCCCCCCUCCUGAACCACCUAGCUCAGCCUGGGCUCCCUUUCCUCCCCUCUCGCGUGGCCCACCUUGCCCUAGGCCCAUCCCGCGCACUAAGGCCUAGUCGGCUUCUCCUCCCCUCCCGCGUGGCCCACCUCGCCCCGGCCCAAGGCCCAGCCGCGAGCCUCCUCCUCCCCUGCGCCCAACCCUAGAGUGGGGAGCGCCUGCUCCCCAGGACAGCCGCCGCCGCCGCCUGAUGCUGCGCCCGCGCCUGCCCUCUCUCCUCGGCGUUCGUGCCGAUGCGCGCCGCGUGUCCUGCUCGCGGCACGGACGUCGGAGAUGGCCGCUUCCGCCCCGAAGCCCUAGCGCCCGCGCUAUAAGAACCGAGCCGCCAGCCGCCGCCCUUCUCCCCCGCGCAGCCGCCGCUCUGCUUGCGCGCGCCCCUGCACCCUCAGCGCCGCGACGCGCACACGCCCGAGCCCCGUGCGCGCCUGCCCUCUCUCCUCGGCGCGCGCCCGCAUCCACGGGCCUCGCCCUGAUGCUGCCCGCCGAGCCGCCGCCGCGACGCACCCGCGCGCCCGAGCACCCCGACGCGUCCACGCCCUCGCCGAGCAGCAGCAGAGCCGCGGCCACGGCCUCGCCCUCGGUGCCCUGCGACGCCGAGCACCGCCGCGCCGAGCUCCGUCCGGCGUCCAUGGCCCCGACCUCGCCAGGAGCCGCUGACCCCCUCUUCGUCGAGCACCUGACCGCCGUGGCCGCGACACGCCUCGUCCUCGACCCCGCCGCGCCGAGCUUCGACUGCGACCUUGCCCAGGAGCCCGCGGCGUCCCCAUCCUCGCCCGCGAGCUCUCCCUCGAGCCCCGUCUUCGGCCAGCACCGCGAGCACGGCGCCCCUCCGCGUCCGCGUCCUCGACCUCGCCACGACCUCGACGCCGAGCAGGAGCUCCGCACCCCCGCCGGAGCACGACGCCACGACCACGACCGUGCCGCGCCAAGCACUGCGACCCCGACCCCGACGCAGUUCUGCGCCACCCCGCGACGUCGCCCACGCCCUCACCACCAGCCCCGACCUCGCCCCCAAGCCCAGGGCCGCGCGCGACGCCGGCUCCGGUCACGGCCGACCUGAAGCCCGCGGCGUCCACGUCCGCGCUCAGGAGCCGCGACCACCGAGCGUGACGUCGGGCCCCGACGCGUCCCCGUCCUCGCCACGGUCACCGCGUCAAGCUCUCAUCCCUGUCUUCGCCAAGCCAAACCCCCGGUGAGCUCGCCAAGACCAAAGUUUUCCCCUUCCUGCGUUCACCAUGCUGAGACCGGCCUUCGCGCCACAUUUCAUCCACUGUCGCAGGGAAGCUUUGGUCCCGUGGUGCUUUUGCCAAAGAUGUGAUGCCUUCUCGCUGCCAGCCGCGCCACCAGCCGAGCCGCAGCGAGCAGAAGCCAGCCAAGAGCAGCAGCAAGCCCACAGUAGAUCUUCGUCCAAACAGCAAGGUCGAACCUUGAACCUAGCCGACAUCGUCUCCGACGUUGGCAAAACCCUUGCCGUUCAUUUCGAUAUCAUACAUGCCAUGUAUCUUGCUCAUGUAUGCAUUAUGAUCUAUCUGCAUGACCAUUUGUUCAUCUAUCCAUGUCAUGCACUUGUUACAUGAUUAUUCAUCUCAUAUCUCGUUUAAUGCGCGAUCUAUCUUCGUCUAUAUCUCUGCCUGUGCCGUGCCUUCGUGCCGGUCUAUUUAUCUAUCUCUAUCUCUUUUGGUCGCUAUGGAAAUGUGCUACUCCGAGUCGUCGUCUUGUUAGUGUUGCAAUUUGUGCUUUUGUUCUUGUCGUUGUGGACCGUGCCGUCGAGCCGGUUGAUAGAGUGACGUGUUUGGAUGUUGCGAUCGCGAGUUCGUCUCGCCAUGGCCGUAAUGCUGAGCAUGUCCCUUCUCUCGUAUUUCUGUUGUUCCUUCUUUUGUUAUUUGCAUGCCUGAGGACCGAGCCUUCGAGCCGGUUAGGGAAAAUGGUGGAGCGUUCGAUCAUUUCGAUCGUGGGUUCGUCCCGCCGUGAUCGCGAUGCCGAGCGUAACUCAUUCCCUGUGAUUAGUUGACUUCGUUGCGCUACGGUCGUUAGCUCCUAUUCCCGUCCCUCGAACGUGGUCAUCGUGGACUCGAUGUCGUUAACGACGCGGUUCUUACCCGCACACUCGAGACCUAAAUGACCUAGUCUAGUGGGAUACGAAUUAGGGGACAACCUUCGUAGAACUAUCGGAGAAACUCGUUAGGUGAAGCUCAUGGCCGCGAGUCCACCUUGCCAUGGCCAUUGGGCUUUACCCCAUUUCUCCCGUGUUUAUCCUAACCAACUCGUAUGCUUGUACCACUUCGACUAUAGCAUUCCCUCGGACCUAGCGGUGACAACCACAUCGCUAUGGGCCUUAGGAAUAGCCUUGUGCUGAUUUAGAUGCACAGUCAUGGUGCCCUACAAGUGGGUUGGGAUCGUGGGGUCGUAUUCCUUUUAUCCAACCGUCGUUGUUCCAUGAUGAGUUGGUCGAAAGAGUAUGGACUCCAUUCUUCUUCUCUCUUGUUCUCAAUCCCGUCGAUCCAGUAAGAUGGGGAUUAAGCCCCUUUUGCUUGUUUGAUGUUUUGUUUCCAAUCCCGCGAUUCCCGCCGUUGCUAUGGCGAGCGGAUCAAAGGAAGGUGAAUCCCGUGUCUUUUCCCGCCUUUUUGGUUCUUCGUGCUUAAACUCUUGUAUGCUUGUACCUAUAUCGAUCGUAGCAUUUCUUUGGUUCUUGUGGUGACAACCGCACCGCAAAGAACCUUAGUGAUGUCAUAGUGCAUUUAGUGCACCUAGGUUGUGGUACCCUACAAGUGGUUUGAGUACUCGUGUUCCUUAUGUGUCACUCUUUCUAAUCCCCCGUCUCUUACCAUGGCGAGUGGAUGGGAAGAAGUAGACCACUCCCCUUUUCUUCUCUCCUUGUUCCAC